UACGGGGGGAGCAAGCGUUGUUCGGAUUUACUGGGCGUAAAGGGCGCGUAGGCGGUCAGCACAAGUCAGUUGUGAAAUCUCCGGGCUUAACCCGGAAAGGUCAACUGAUACUGUGCGACUAGAGUGCGGAAGGGGCAACUGGAAUUCUCGGUGUAGAGGUGAAAUUCGUAGAUAUUCGCAAGAACACCAGUGGCGAAGGCGGCUCACUGGCCCGAUACUGACGCUGAGGCACGAAAGCGUGGGGAGCAAACAGG
rnacentral:rRNA from 1 species